rnacentral:rRNA from 1 species
AUUGAACGCUGGCGGCAGGCCUAACACAUGCAAGUCGAACGAGUGGCGGACGGGUGAGUAAUGUCUUGGAAACUGCCUGAUGGAGGGGGAUAACUACUGGAAACGGUAGCUAAUACCGCAUACCAUCGGAUGUGCCCAGAUGGGAUUAGCUAGUAGGUGGGGUAAAGGCUCACCUAGGCGACGAUCCCUAGCUGGUCUGAGAGGAUGACCAGCCACACUGGAACUGAGACACGGCCCAGACUCCUACGGGAGGCAGCAGUGGGGAAUAUUGGACAAUGGGCGCAAGCCUGAUGCAGCCACGCCGCGUGGAUGAAGAAGGUCUUCGGGUUGUAAAGCACUUUCAGUGGGGAGGCGUUACCCGCAGAAGAAGCACCGGCUAACUCCGUGCCAGCAGCCGCGGUAAUUC